rnacentral:hammerhead_ribozyme from 1 species
AUACUGACGAGUCCCGAAUAGGACGAAAUGCGCGUCCUGGAU